AUAUCAGUAAGCGGAGGAAAAGAAACUAACAAGGAUUGCCCCAGUAGCGGCGAGUGAACAGGCAAAAGCUCAAAUUGGAAAUCCGGACGGCAUAACGAGUCGUCGGAAUUGUAAUCUAGAGAUCUAACGCGAAGGCAUGGUCCGCGCAUGAGUUCCUUGGAACAGGACGCCGAAGAGGGUGACAGCCCCAUACGCGGUGCGGACCGGUCGUAGCGGAGGACUCCAAGAGUCGGGUUGUUUGGGACUGCAGCCUAAACGGGAGAUAAACUUCUUCUAAAGCUAAAUAUUUAUGGGAGACCGAUAGCGCACAAGUA
rnacentral:rRNA from 1 species